GACCGGCGCACGGGUGAGUAACACGUAUGCAACCUGCCCGCCACAGGGGGAUAAGCGGAAGAAAUUCCGUCUAAUACCGCGUGACGCGGCGCCGGGGCAUCCCGGUGCCGCCAAAGGGAUUACCGGUGGCGGAUGGGCAUGCGGCGCAUUAGCUAGUCGGCGGGGUAACGGCCCACCGAGGCGACGAUGCGUAGGGGUUCUGAGAGGAAGGUCCCCCACACUGGUACUGAGACACGGACCAGACUCCUGCGGGAGGCAGCAGUGAGGAAUAUUGGUCAAUGGGCGCGAGCCUGAACCAGCCAAGUCGCGUGAGGGAUGACGGUCCUACGGAUUGUAAACCUCUUUUGCCGGGGAGCAAGCGUGCGUUCGUGAACGCACGUCGAGAGUACCCGGAGAAAAAGCAUCGGCUAACUCCGUGCCAGCAGCCGCGGUAAUACGGAGGAUGCGAGCGUUAUCCGGAUUUAUUGGGUUUAAAGGGUGCGUAGGCGGGAUGCCAAGUCAGCGGUAAAAAUGCGGUGCUCAACGCCGUCGAGCCGUUGAAACUGGCGUUCUUGAGUGGGCGAGAAGUAUGCGGAAUGCGUGGUGUAGCGGUGAAAUGCAUAGAUAUCACGCAGAACUCCGAUUGCGAAGGCAGCAUACCGGCGCCCUACUGACGCUGAGGCACGAAAGCGUGGGUAUCGAACAGGAUUAGAUACCCUGGUAGUCCACGCAGUAAACGAUGAAUGCUAACU
rnacentral:rRNA from 1 species